GACGAACGCUGGCGGCGUGCUUAACACAUGCAAGUCGAGCGGUAAGGCCCUUUCGGGGGUACACGAGCGGCGAACGGGUGAGUAACACGUGGGUGACCUGCCCUCAGCUCUGGGAUAAGCCUGGGAAACCGGGUCUAAUACCGGAUAUGACUCCAUGACGCAUGUUGUGGGGUGGAAAGCCUUGUGCGGCUGAGGAUGGGCCCGCGGCCUAUCAGCUUGUUGGUGGGGUGANGGCCUACCAAGGCGACGACGGGUAGCCGGCCUGAGAGGGCGACCGGCCACACUGGGACUGAGACACGGCCCAGACUCCUACGGGAGGCAGCAGGUGGGGAAUCUUGCGCAAUGGGCGAAAGCCUGACGCAGCGACGCCGCGUGAGGGAUGACGGCCUGG
rnacentral:rRNA from 1 species